UGCCUCAGUAACGGCGAGUGAAGCGGCAACAGCUCAAAUUUGAAAUCUGGCCCCCAGGGUCCGAGUUGUAAUUUGUAGAGGAUGCUUUUGGUGAGGUGCCUUCCGAGUUCCCUGGAACGGGACGCCAUAGAGGGUGAGAGCCCCGUCUGGUUGGACACCGAGCCUCUGUAAAGCUCCUUCGACGAGUCGAGUAGUUUGGGAAUGCUGCUCUAAAUGGGAGGUAUAUGUCUUCUAAAGCUAAAUAUUGGCCAGAGACCGAUAGCGCACAAGUAGAGUGAUCGAAAGAUGAAAAGCACUUUGAAAAGAGGGUUAAAAAGUACGUGAAAUUGUUGAAAGGGAAGCGCUCAUGACCAGACUUGGGCUUGGCGAAUCAUCCAGCGUUCUCGCUGGUGCACUUCGCCUCGUUCAGGCCAGCAUCAGUUUGUCCCGGGGGAUAAAAGCUUCGGGAACGUGGCUGCUUCGGCAGUGUUAUAGCCCGCUGCAUAAUACCCUGGGGUGGACUGAGGUUCGCGCUCCGCAAGGAUGCUGGCGUAAUGGUCAUCAGCGACCCGUCUUGAAACACGGACCAAGGAGUCGUCUUCGUAUGCGAGUGUUCGGGUGUCAAACCCCUACGCGUAAUGAAAGUGAACGCAGGUGAGAGCUUCGGCGCAUCAUCGACCGAUCCUGAUGUUCUCGGAUGGAUUUGAGUAAGAGCAUACGGGGCCGGACCCGAAAGAAGGUGAACUAUGCCUGUAUAGGGUGAAGCCAGAGGAAACUCUGGUGGAGGCUCGCAGCGGUUCUGACGUGCAAAUCGAUCGUCAAAUAUGGCAUGGGGCGAAAGACUAAUCGAACCUUCUAGUAGCUGGUUUCCGCCGAAGU
rnacentral:rRNA from 1 species